AUCUCACAGGUUCUCAUUCUUUUUCAACCAUGGAUAGAGCUCCGUUAACAGAGUUCUUUAAUCUAUGGUCACUAAGUCAUAGCUGCCUUCUGGCACUGCUGGGCUCCGCUCAGUCUCUCACUGCCAAGAAAUUUUGGUUCUGGAAAGUCAUUAUCUCUGUAUUCUGGGAGAAAUUUUGACACAGAAGCACAGAAGGUGGUAAGAAGAUUUGUGCCAGAAACAGGACUAUAAUUCCAUGCAAUUGCCUUUGCACUCAAGUAAUUUUUUGCCAAGGAGAAGUCAGAUUGGAUGAAGUGCUGGCCAGAGCUGCAGCUCUUCCUGUAUUGACAGCAUCAGGCAAAUGCCAUUUCCAAUGCUGGGAGCCUCGGGGACGGCACUACUGGGAGUGGUGGCCUCUGAUCAGGCUCCUGGAACAACCCCCACUUUCUCCCACUGGGCCACAGCACCUGCUAAGUGCUUUCAGCUGCAGUUUCACUGGCAAUCAGGACCAAAACCAACUGGUUUUAAUCAGAAACUGCACCUUUCUGCUCAGAAAAGCAUUAUUUUGCUAUACUGUUUCUGCCGUUGUACCUGUUUGCUCCUUUUGUUGCUGCAGUAUCAGCAUUGUUCCAUUGCCAUUAAUACCCACAGGCUGAUGUUUGUACAAAUGCAUUUUUAUUGUUUUAACAGAACCAAAGGAUAAGGUUGAAAACAUUAGACUAUACAUAAAUGCAUUUUGGCUUAUAAACAACAUUUUAUAGUGGUAAAACAUUUCUAAGUGACAUUCAUGGUCUUUCUCCAAUUUUUGCUGCAUUUCAGGUCUGAAGACCAAUAGUGUUCAAAAAAACCAACCCAGUAAUUGCAUAAGGUGAAUGAGGAUCUCAACUUCUACAAAACAAUUUGAGAACCUACAGCAAACAUUCUGGAAGAACGCCAAAGGCAACCAUGAUUUGUAACUCUCCCACAAACGUUACUCAAUAAACAGAAAGUGAUCUUUGGCAUAAACAAUUAUGUAUUAAAGGCAUUAGUAAUAUUGCAUUAAUAUCAGUCAAGCAACUAAACACUGAUGCUAAAAAAAAAAUCUGAGAGAAGCUUGAAUGGGAGGAGAGGGGUGGGAGCGUGAGGAAACGCAGGAAGACUAUUUAGAAAAUCCCUUUAAAAUUACCCUUAACUAUUCAGUGUUAUUUACUAUUAAAUAGAAAUUACUACAUUACAAUUACAUAAAAGAUCUGGUAUAAACCGACCAAAUGCAAGACAUUCAGGUUAAGGCUCUGGCACCUCUUCCUUCCUCUUCCUGUUCCAGGUAAUCACCAGAAGAGAAUACCAAGGAAAGACCCCAAGUACCACGUGUUUCAUGAUACCCAGACACCAGGAGCAAACUGAAGACCAACACAUGUUUUCUCUUGCUAAGGCUGUGAAACAUCUGCUCAGUCUGACAAGGCCACUUCAAUAAUGGUUGUGCAACAAUUACCAGCAAAUAAAAAUGAAGUGUCUCAGGAGGUCCGUGCUGAUUUGGGCAGAAGUUUGCAAGUGCUCAUUGCAAAAGUACAGCAACCCAUGAUAAAACAGCAAUUCCAAAUGGCAAAAGAGACCAGGGAGCAAUAGACAAAAACUACAUAUAGGAAGGCAUGUUAGAUUAUGUUAGAAUAAAAAUAUUUGAAGCCUAUUUUAUCCAGAGCGCGUUUUGUCUACAGAAGACUAAACAGCACAUGGUUCAAUUUACUAAGACUCAAAAAAGUUUUCAAACUGCCUAACUCCAACUAUGAUAAAACCAGUACAAAUACCUGGGGACACUGAGCAUUAGGAACUGCUGCUCGCUGGCAGCCAUCGGGCCACCUGACGAACUUCCCACCUCUGUAGUACGUGGGCUUCAGAAAGCUUAAGCAAUGCUAUUGCACUGUUGGAAGCAAGAGUAGUGAGUCAAAACAUCUUCUGAGGGUACUAUUCUUGAUCUUUUGAUUGCCAUCUCGUGUGGCUAGAACAAUGAGAUGCAAAGAAGAGAAAACAAUGACGACACAUGCCUUGUGCUCACUUUGCUUUCCAAAAGGAAGGAGCGUUUCCGUGACGUUUUCUGGUUCUAGACACAGCUAGAUUCAAAGAACCAGGAUUUUUCAGUUCAGUAUGUCACUAAAUUGAGCAAGAAGGAGAGCUGCACAAUUUAAGGCCUCCAGCUGACAACAGCGUGCCACUGACAUUCACCAGAAGCAUCUCGGUACAGCACAGCAGUUCUGAAAUGCUACCUAUAGGGUGCCAGGAGGGUGACAGACAGCUCCAGUUUUUAUUCAAGUACUUUUUCGCCAAGCAAAAGUCAACAAGAAAAUUAAAAAAUACAUAUCAUUUCAGCAGUGGGAUUUUAAUCUUCAUUUUACAACUGCUUGCCCCCUCCCAUCCCUUUUUUUCCUUUUUAAAAAUCCAAACCACUUCUGAACCAUUUGAAGAGCCAAUUAAAAGCCUGCUGAAAAGUUGAGUGUUCAUA